UGGUGGGAGCUCCCCUGGAGCCUGUGGCAGUCAACCAAAUGGGACAGCUGUAUGACUGCGUGUCUGCAGCUGGCACGUGCCGGCCCAUCUCCUUGCACAUCCCCCCAGAAGCUGUGAACGUGUCCCUGGGCCUGUCCCUGGUGGCCUCCACUAACCAUUCCUGGCUGUUGGCCUGUGGCCCAACUGUGCACAGAGCUUGUGGGGAGAACAUGUAUGCAAAAGGCUCCUGCCUCCUGUU